rnacentral:rRNA from 1 species
AGCAGCCGCGGUAAUUCCAGCUCCAAUAGCGUAUAUUAAAGUUGUUGCAGUUAAAAAGCUCGUAGUUGAAUUUCGGGGUUAGUAGGUUGGUCAUGCCUCUGGUAUGUACUGGUCUCACUGAUUCCUCCUUCCUGAUGAACCUUAAUGCCAUUUAUUUGGUGUUUUGGGGAAUUUGGACUGUUACUUUGAAAAAAUUAGAGUGUUUAAAGCAAGCUAACGCUUGAAUACAUUAGCAUGGAAUAAUGAAAUAGGACGUUCGAUCCUAUUUUGUUGGUUUCUAGGAUUUGACGUAAUGAUUAAUAGGGAUAGUUGGGGGCAUUAGUAUUCAAUUGUCAGAGGUGAAAUUCUUGGAUUUAUUGAAGACUAACUACUGCGAAAGCAUUUGCCAAGGAUGUUUUCAUUAAUCAAGAACGAAAGUUAGGGAUCGAAGACGAUCAGAUACCGUCGUAG